GCCGCGCGCGCCUCGGCCACCAGGCUAAAGCAAUAGAAGGCGCCGCCGCCGAGCUUUGCGAUCGUCGUCUUGGCUUCUAGGUUCUGGGCUGGAGCGUUCCUGGGGCGUGGAGAGCCCAGAUUCCAGGCAUUGGUGGCCAAAAGAUAAGAGCACGCCAGAGGCACUCUCUCUCUCUCUCUCUCUUACUUCAGUGCACCUCGAGGGAGGUGCAAAAGGGGGCGGAGACUCCGUGAAGGCUCCAGGGAUUCGGGUCCCCAAGGGCUUGGGCUUCCAGCAGAGACAAGAAUCGGUUACAGGCUGUGGUCCAGCUAAUCCAACAGUAGCUGUCUACGAGUGGAAGUUCCAAGAAUCCAGGAGUUGCUCGGUUCACAAGCUGGAUGUCUCCGCUGUUCUUCGGUAUAUGCAGGAUUCCAGAAGAUGAACCACCAGGUGGAGCCCUUGGACUAAAGAGCUGAUUUUUAAGACCUUGAAGUAGAUCUGGGGAGCUGAGAGGAAGUAAGGUACAGGAAUUUCAUACAGAAAUAUAUAUAUAUAUAUAUAUAUUUGUUAUCAUAUAUAUAUAUGAUAACAAAAGAUGAUUUUUAAAAAGACGUGAGAGUAUUUCUCUAAUUUAGAAAAGGAACCGUGGCAAGCACUUUGGAGGAGCCCAGAAGAUCUGGACACUGGACACUGAGUUAUUUACACAGUUAAAACUUGGCUUUGCUUUGAUUUUGACUGGGCCCUGAUUCUUUCUCUUUGGAUAAGAAAGUAUUCAGUUUAUUUUUGAUUUACAGGAACCCAGAGUUAAGAGCUUUGGGAGCUUUAUAGAGACUUGGGAUUUUUAAAGAGACUGAACUUUUAAAGUGUUGAAAUUUGUAAAGACUAUGGUACUUUUAAAGGUUUUAUAAUGUAAUAUUAAUAUGAGAUCUUGGGGAUCACAAGAAAGGAAAGGUUAUGCUUAAUAAGCUAUCAACAUGUUUGUGUGCCAAGUUGAUAAGGGGUCAUUUGUGCCAGCUAGUUUUUAUGUCAUCUGAGAGGAGGGAACCUUAAUUGAGGAAAUUCUUCCAUAAGAUCAGGCUGUGCUGGUGGUCUUGUAUUCUGUUUUUAAAAAAGAGGGUUAAGCCAAGUACGGUGGCGCAUGCCUUUAAU